CCUAGAAUUAAUCUAAGGUGUAACCUGCCCAAUGAUUUUUAAUYCAAUAAACUUAACAAUUUAUAAUAAAAUUUAAAGGACGCAGUAACCUGACUGUGGUAAUGUAGCAUAAUCAUUCGCCAUUUAAUUGAUGGAUAGUAUGAAUGGUUGAACGAAUUCUUCACUGUCUUAUAAUAAGAAGUCAUGAAAUUAAAAUAAUAGUUAAGAUGCUAUUUAAAAUUGUAAGACGAAAAGACCCUAUAGAGCUUAACUAUACUUUCCCUUAYCAUAAAAAUAUAAYAUUWAAAACAARGAAAVUGGUAGUUUAGUUGGGGCGACUGUCUUCUAAAUUAAACGAAGACAAGCAAAAUUAAUAAUAAAUUUAUUGUAUAACUAAUAAGUUUAACAAUUACAAAAGUAGGCUAUAAUGACCUGUUAAUAUUAAGUGAUAAAUUUAACGAUCAAUAAAUAAAAGCUACCUUAGGGAUAACAGGAUAAUUUUGUUUUAGAGAYCUUAUCGAAAACAAAGUUUGUCACCUCUAUGUUGAAUUAAGAUAUCCUGUUAGUGCAAAAGCUAACAAAGGUAGGUCUGUUCGACCUUUAAAAU
rnacentral:rRNA from 1 species